GACGAACGCUGGCGGCGUGCCUAAUACAUGCAAGUAGAACGCUGAAGGAGGAGCUUGCUUCUCCGGAUGAGUUGCGAACGGGUGAGUAACGCGUAGGUAACCUGCCUGGUAGCGGGGGAUAACUAUUGGAAACGAUAGCUAAUACCGCAUAACAGUAGAUAUUGCAUGAUAUCUGCUUGAAAGGUGCAAUUGCAUCACUACCAGAUGGACCUGCGUUGUAUUAGCUAGUUGGUGGGGUAACGGCUCACCAAGGCGACGAUACAUAGCCGGCCUGAGAGGGGGAACGGCCAAACUUGGACUGGGACACGGCCCAGACUUCCACGGGGGGGAGCAGUAGGGAAUCCUCGGCAAUGGACGGAAGUCUGACCGGGCAACGCCGCGUGAGGGGAGAAGGGUUUCGGAUCGUAAAGACCUGUUGUAAGGGAAGAACGAGUGUUGGAGGGGAAAGUUCACACCGUGACGGUAUCUUACCAGAAAGGGACGGCUAACUACGUG
rnacentral:rRNA from 1 species